rnacentral:rRNA from 1 species
CACGGGGGGAGCAAGCGUUGUUCGGAAUCACUGGGCGUAAAGGGCGUGUAGGCGGUCAGGUAAGUGAGAUGUGAAAUGCCCCGGCUCACCCGGGGACCGGCAUCUCAUACUGCUUGGCUUGAGUACGGGAGAGGAUGUGGGAAUUCCUGGUGUAGCGGUGAAAUGCGCAGAUAUCAGGAGGAACACCCGUAGCGAAGGCGGCACUCUGGGCCGAUACUGACGCUGAGGAGCUAAAGCGUGGGGAGCGAACAGG